GGGAAGUUGGCUCAGUGGUAGAGUGCUUGCCUCGCAUGCAUGAGGCCCUGAGUUCGAUUCCUCAGUACCA
rnacentral:tRNA from 1 species